UACAGAGGGUGCUAACGUUGCUCGGAAUUACUGGGCGUAAAGCGCGUGUAGGCGGACCACCAAGUCGGACGUGAAAGCCCUGAGCUCAACUCAGGAACUGCAUCCGAAACUGGCGGUCUGGAGUAGUGGAGAGGAAAGCAGAAUUCCUGGUGUAGAGGUGAAAUUCGUAGAUAUCAGGAGGAACACCGAUGGCGAAGGCAGGUCUCUGGGCUGACACUGACGCUCAUGCACGAAAGCGUGGGGAGCAAACAGG
rnacentral:rRNA from 1 species